rnacentral:tRNA from 1 species
UAUGUUUUAGUGUAGGAGGCACAUGAAUUUUUGAUAUUCAUAGGAGUAGUUUAAUUCUACUUAACAUAU